rnacentral:lncRNA from 1 species
CAAACUGGGGAAACAGGUUUGCCAGCUGAAGUCAGCUCUGGGGCGGAAGGGAGGAGUGCAGGUGUUGGCUGGCCGGUGCCGGGGGUCUCAGUACUCUCUUGAUGCUACUCCUUACCCUGCAUUCUCCCCCCAAAAGGCACCUAGUGGGGCUCAACGUGGGGCCGAGCUACCCCUCGCGGGGGGCCCGGCUCUGAGGGUGGGGAGUUCCAGGAGCAGGCCGGGGCGGGCAGGAAGGCAGCGCUGGGAGGCGGGCUGCGCUUCCUCUCACGGCCGCCCGGCCCCACCCGGCUCCCGGGUUUGCACUCACAUCCUGGAUUUGUUUGCCUGGCUCCAGGCUGCCCCCGCCUGCCGGGUUUCCAAGGCCGCAACUGGCCAGCCUGUGCUCCAUACCUGCCCUGCAAGCUUGAGCCACCAAAGAGGCUGUGACUCUGAAGGCCUGGACUCCAGGUCCCCAGGGGCCCCAGUCCAGGCCUGCUGUCCUGGGAGACAGUCGGCGGGACAGUCGGGCUGAGUAUGAACUCCCCCCCAGUGACCAGCCGGUCAAUGCACAAUGGUCCAUUGUGCCCAAGGCACACCUGAGCCAGGAGCAGAUGCCAGGCAGGUGUCGGGACACAGGUCAGUGCUGGAGGAGCCUGGGGAGGGCGGGGCAGGACCGAGGUUCCCUCCCUAUGGGGGGGGGGGGCGCAGAAGGAAAGUGGGGGUCUAGAGGCAGAAUUUGGGCAACACGAGGUUCUUGCCCUGUGGGGAGACCAGGGUGAGGUCACUUGAAGCAGUCAGGGACAGGGACGGGAAGCCAGGAGCUCUGGGGC